rnacentral:rRNA from 1 species
UGCCAGCAGCCGCGGUAAUACGGAGGGGGUUAGCGUUGUUCGGAAUUACUGGGCGUAAAGGGCACGUAGGCUGUCUGCUCAGUCGGGUGUGAAAGCCCCCGGCCCAACCGGGGAACUGCAUUCGAUACUGGCAGACUAGAGGACAGGAGGGGUGAGUGGAACUCCAGGUGGAACGGUGAAAUGUGUAGAUAUCUGGAGGAACACCGGUGGCGAAAGCGGCUCACUGGCCUGUCUCUGACGCUGAGGCGCGAAGGCGUGGGUAGCGAACGGGAUUAGAUA